rnacentral:rRNA from 1 species
AGAGUUUGAUCCUGGCUCAGGAUGAACGCUAGCUACAGGCUUAACACAUGCAAGUCGAGGGGCAGCAUGGGAGUUGCUGCAACUCUGAUGGCGACCGGCGCACGGGUGAGUAACGCGUAUCCAACCUUCCCCUUAGUAGGGCAUAGCCCGUAGAAAUGCGGAUUAAUACCCUAUGUUCUUCGAAGCGGUCAUCCAAUUUGAAGCAAAGAUUCAUCGCUAAGGGAUGGGGAUGCGUCCGAUUAGGUUGUUGGCGGGGUAACGGCCCACCAAGCCAUCGAUCGGUAGGGGUUCUGAGAGGAAGGUCCCCCACAUUGGAACUGAGACACGGUCCAAACUCCUACGGGAGGCAGCAGUGAGGAAUAUUGGUCAAUGGACGAGAGUCUGAACCAGCCAAGUAGCGUGCAGGAUGACGGCCCUAUGGGUUGUAAACUGCUUUUAUCAGGGGAUAAAGUGACCCACGUGUGGGUUUUUGUAGGUACCUGAUGAAUAAGGACCGGCUAAUUCCGUGCCAGCCGCCGC